CUGGGAGGGAUGACACAGUACCAGACGCCAGACACGCCAGACGGAAAGGCAUUGUGUUCAAAGGGUGCCAUAAACUGCUGCUUUAUUUAAUGUGGGACGACACAGCACCGGACGUCAACAGCAAGGCACUCUGUUCCAAGGGUGCCAUAAACUGCUGCGUUAUUUAAUGUAUUUUCGCAGAACAAGACAGUGACAGGGGCGUGGCUUCCUGGAUGUGCUGGUUCAAGCUUGGUGCCUGCCGGGAGGUGCCUACAGGGCCACCAAGGCUAAUAUUGGUAAGAAACUCGCCCACCACUUGUCCAGCCAGGUAAUUUGCACAGUCUGAUGUAAUAGGCGGUACGUGUCACCCACAACAACACAGGGCUGUCAGAUACAAAUGUAGAGGGACGAAAUAGGGAAGCAGGAAGACCACCACCACCACCACCAUCACCACCAGCAGUGUGGAAGAAAGUUUAGAGCAACGGCAACCCUCUGAUCCGGCAAGCAAGUUGGCGGCAGCGAUGGCGGUGGCGGCGGCAGUGGUGGUGAGGUGGACGGCAGGGACAGAGGGGCAGUACAGGCUGCGGACAUCAAGGAGAAGAGGAACGCACGGACAAGCAAGGUGUUAUUCGGCAGUCUGAUCCUGGACCUGCUAGGCUUGAAGGUGGUGCUGCCCGUGUCUUCUGCUCUCCUCGACUGUUACUCCAAGCACAACACCAGCGGCUUGUAUUCCUCUCAGCUCUCCUGUGUGACUUAUUCGCGGCCUCGGCUGUCUACGCACGCACUCUCACUGUGGCUAACAUAAUAUUCUUUGCUGUCUUCUUCCAGGAAUCGCUGCCUGAGGGCAGAAGGAGGAGGGACAUCGGUGCCAGUUUGACCGAGGCUUGGGAGGUGAUCAAUCCUAGGGCUCUGUUCUCCGUCAGCUGUGUCAAGGGCCUGGGCAGAGAAGGCACCGAGAGGCUCUGGAGAAGUUUGGAAGGGGACUACUGCAUCAUCCGCGUCUCAGAAACAUGCUGCCGCCCGAUGCGCCUCGCCCGGUCCGUGCCACCAGACACCACAACAGAAUAACGCCCCUGAAGGCGCCGCGCACGGACCGGUACAGACUCAGUGCGAUUCCCACCAUGCCUGGAGUUAACGCUGAUCUUCGCGACCCACCACAAGCAUAGUUACGACUCGUUGGCGCAGGACCGCAAGUUUUCCUUCCUGGGCCUGGUCAUGGCAGUUACACAGAGAGGGUUUAUGCGAAGUGUUAAGACUGGAACUGAAAAAGCAACUGCCAAUUAGGCACACACCUACAUUGUGAUGCAGCUCCUUGGAGGUGGAGAGCUGGCUGCCUCAGAGGAUCAGGAAACACGAGAGGUUCACAGAGGCUCGCCUCGGGCUUCGGUCGUCGUGAGGAACCUGGUGUCAGCAGUUCACUACGUGCACAGGAAAAGCAUCAGUGUUCACGGAGACCUAAAGCCAGACAGGGGUGAAAAGGGUUGGUGUUGAGGAUAGACAGAAAAGAAAAGAAAGGAAAGGUAAAAAAAGGAAGUUUUUUUGCAUUGAUUUUCCAUCUGCUUAUUUUAAAGAAUUUAUUGCAUGGAAUAUUAUUGAUCUCCAUCAUUUGUAUGGCCUUUAUAAUAAAAAGUAUGAAUUUA